rnacentral:rRNA from 1 species
CAGCCGCCCGGGAAUACGUAGGUGGCAAGCGUUGUCCGGAAUUAUUGGGCGUAAAGGGCUCGCAGGCGUUUUCUUAAGUCUGAUGUGAAAGCCCCCGGCUCAACCGGGGAGGGUCAUUGGAAACUGGGAAACUUGAGUGCAGAAGAGGAGAGUGGAAUUCCACGUGUAGCGGUGAAAUGCGUAGAGAUGUGGAGGAACACCAGUGGCGAAGGCGGCUCUCUGGUCUGUAACUGACGCUGAGGAGCGAAAGCGUGGGGAGCGAACAGGAUUAGAUACCCCUGUAGUCCCUGUCUCUUAUACC